UACGAAGGGGGCUAGCGUUGCUCGGAAUCACUGGGCGUAAAGGGUGCGUAGGCGGGUCUUUAAGUCAGGGGUGAAAUCCUGGAGCUCAACUCCAGAACUGCCUUUGAUACUGAAGAUCUCGAGUCCGGGAGAGGUGAGUGGAACUGCGAGUGUAGAGGUGAAAUUCGUAGAUAUUCGCAAGAACACCAGUGGCGAAGGCGGCUCACUGGCCCGGUACUGACGCUGAGGUGCGAAAGCGUGGGAG
rnacentral:rRNA from 1 species